AUGAAUUUGGGAGCAAGGGGACACAAUUCAGUCCAGAACACUUCCUUAGACUUGUUAGAUAAGCUCAGUCCAAAAGAAAUACAACGCAAUUUAAAUUUUUCUAGUAGCCACAUUUUUUUAAAAAGUAAAAAGAAACAAGUGAAAUUAAUUGUAACACUAUCUGACGCUAUGCUGUCCAACACAGUAGCCACUAGUCACACGUUAGAUAAUUCUCCAAGCUGAAGAGAGAGGUCAAAUAAGAGAGUGACAGUGGAUCCAAGAUACAGCUGGGGUGCCAGGGUGGGGGGUCGGCAAGGAGUCACAAUGACUCAUAGAAUGUCCAGGGAGUUUUGAGGAUCUGAGAGCACGGGGACCUGUGCUCACGUCUGAGGUGGGGCCAGGGUGAAUAGGGGAGGGUAGAAGUGGCAACUAGAUGCGUCUAGGACAGCGCCCCACGUCUGCCACAUCCCCCCAAGUCUCCAGAGUGGCACAGGGGAACAUCCAACAGUUCCCCAGUCCCUAAGAGGGGUGAGGACGUGGCUCAGGGAGAAUCGUCACCGUCAGGAUAGGCCGCUGCAAGUGCAGGACUGAUGAUCCGAGUCGAUGGGAAUGUGGACACAGCAGUGAACGCCAGCCUGGAGGGGCGCUGAUGGCCAAAGACCUGAUGCUUCACGUCAUGUCUCCUAAACUUCAGUGCCACUCUGGGGAGAUGAGAGGGAAAGGGGAAGUUCUGAAUUCAUAGUUUACCUGAAACGAUGAAAAGACCCAGAGACCCUGCAGCUUGCUCCCCCUGGACAGAAACUCCCUCCUGCCCCGGACGUCCUGGGCUCCAUCUCUGUGGGCAGCCUCACUGUGCGCACCUUGGCAUCCCAGGUCGCUCCUCAGCACCCACGUCCUCACGGAACAACGAAGGAAUGGCAGUGCAGCAGCAGCUCAGCUGUGUGCCAUCUACUGGGCAGGAUGAGUAGAAACUGCCGAGAGAGCUUUUUCCUUUUCCUUUAAAUUGUACAAUUACAGCAUUUUGGACCUAGAAAAGAAUUUAAUGAUCAUAUAAUUUUAUGUGCCUGCUAAUAUUCAGGGUUUUGAGGCUUUCUGUUUGUUCGUCAAUUUGUUUUACUUUGGUGAUUUUCAGAAGGCUAUUAACAAGGGUAUUUCUGUAAUGGGUUGUUUAGAGAGGAAAAGUCAUUCCCAGCACUGCCAUCUGUUGGGAAGACAAUAAAUGCCACAUAACGAAGUCAGCUCAAAAGCCAGAGGUGCUUCUGUUACUAGCGUUUUAGUAUGUUUCUUUUUUUUUUUCCCCUGCUUUUUCCUCCCCCAAAUCGCCCCAGUACACAGUUGUAUAUUUUUUAGCUGUGGGUCCUUCUAGUUGUGGCAUGUGGGAUGCCACCUCAGCGUGGCCUGAUGAGCAGUGCCAUGUCUGCGCCCAGGAUCUGCACCGGCGAAACCCUGGGAGACCACAGCUAGCAAACAAACUGAACCACUUGGCCACGGGCCAGCCCCAGUAUGUUUCUGAUUCUAACUGGACAGGGUGACACACCUUCUUAAAUAAAUUCUGAUAGUAUUUCAUUUCCUCUGUGGCUAUCAAAAUUAUUGACAAAUUAUCAUAUGACCUAACAUAAAAUUCUAAUUUGGCAUUUCAUUUCUAAUAUGAUGCUGGAGAGUCUGCUUAUGAACUACAAAUUCACGAAAUCAAAUAUAAAAUACCAUAGUCUUAUUUAUUAGCCAUAUAGUAAAUGUUUACUACCUUCUCUUAACUGUAUAAUGUUUCAUCCAAACCAAAGACACAUUCAGCUUAGUCAUCAGAAAAAUUAAAAGAUGGAAGCUCCUCUUGUCAAGAGUGAACAGUAAAAUGACCCAGAAAACACUGAUUUAAUAACAGGACCUGUGCUCAGGUAGGUCUGGCUGGAAGUCAGACACAGAAGGGCUUCUGCUUGUGGGGAGACAGGCCACUUCUCACUUCACACUGCUCAAGGGCACACACUCGAAAAGUAACUGGAAAAUAAGGUGAAUCCGCUCUGGGGAAGAAACUGUGAACUCUAGAUUGUUUUUAAGGCACUCCAUCACUGCUUCAUUUGAAAAGUGAAGUGGGCUUUCUGCAAUUGUAAGAUCAGUGCCACCAUGAAGUGUUGUCAUUCCAGGAGUAGAGUCUCUGUCCUGAAGUCCAGGACUGCUUCAGCUCUUCCUUGGCUGUGUCUGGGGAAACUCACUGCCACUCUGGCCAAGAAAAUUAGCAUAUCUACAUCCCAUUGUGCUUUUCUGUAAAAUGUUGGUCUCCUCAGAAGCUGUUGGAAGAAUUUAUUAGACAAUAAUGUAAAAGGCUUUGCCAUCCUGAUGUACUCAUUGUCCACUAAGUAAUAAUGAUUACAAAUGAGGUAUCGUUCAAAAGAAAGUCAGGGGAAAAAAGAAACUACUUUGUGAUUCAUCAGAGGAUGACUGAGACUCAGAGAGAAAUUUUGACUCAAAUGUUCCAGAGCAUCCAGGGGUUCAGGGGAGAAAGCUCUUCUUUACCUCAUUUCAGAAAGAUAUGUGGAAAAGACAGAAUAUAAAGGAAAUGAUUUUUGCCCUAAAUAAUGAUGCUUUCUACUAAUGUCAGUGCAUAUGCAUGUAUAUAUAAACAUACAUUUUUUUAAAUAAGACUAGAUUAUAAUUAAGAUUUUAUUUUAACCUUUAUUUGGAAAAUCACGUCCAUGUGAUUUUGCUGGUUUUGAC
rnacentral:lncRNA from 1 species